rnacentral:tRNA from 1 species
CCGACGGUGGGGUGUACGCGUUGGCCCGGACCAGGUUGUAGUUGGUGGCGUUGAACGAGUCGUAGACGUACAUGUUCGACUCGCUGCUGUUGGU